CGGUGGCUGUGCCACGAUGCAGUCAUCCAACCCGCUCGUUUUCGCUACGCAGGUUUUUGCACCGCUCAUCACCCAGAUGCUAUUCCUGUCCCUGGUUCCCGCCCCUUCGCAUGCCACCUCUGCCAUCGAAUCCCUUCAUUUCAAAUCUCCCGCCGGCCUUGCUGCACAGCUGCCUGCGGUUUCAGCCUGCCCGGCGGCGCUACCUCUGCUAUUCCUCGACUGCCCCCGGACUCUCCCAUGGUCAUCGAGAGCGCAGACACGGCGCAUCAUCCGCGCUCGGCGCCCUGUGGGCUCGGUGGCUGUGCUACGAUGCAAUCAUCCAACCCACUCGUUUUCGCUACGCAGGUAGCAUUCCCAGCGAUUGGAAGGUGGGGAAGGUUGUUCCGGUCUUCAAAUCAGCUCACUUCGUCAUCCACCCUACAUCAAUCCGCCAGCACGUAUUUCCCCCCGCAUUGGUCAUCCCCUUCAAGUUGCACGACCUCGUACGCGCACUGCUACAUUCGCAUCUUCAUUCUUUCCGCGCUCAGCCCCGGACUGGAACGGCCUUCCACAUGACAUCACCGCAAUCACCUGUACAUCUAAAUUUUUGAAUUGUAUAACUACGGUAUUUAACAGCGAAUAAUUUAUGUUCAUUACGUGUUUUCUUUGUUUAUUAUAUGAUUUAUACAUGUAACCCACCCCUUAUGUAACACCCCCAACCCCGGGGGCCUUUAAGGUAAUAAAGUGAAGUGAAGUGCCAGAGUAGCGCACAUUGUCUGGGAGGUCUGUCUGUGGUGGCUGCUGUGAAUCACACCCACCUGUCACCAUGCACUGCCUAUUGCAAUCUCCAGAUUAGCGACGGAGUCACGCCACACUUCACACCGUUUGGAACAUGCCGCACGAGACAGAUCGUCCACACCACCCAAUAUAUUGCGAAAUAACACGUAUAGAGAUGCACUCAAAUUUCGCAUUAUGGAGUUCGUAAUCGCCGAUGAAUCUUCGAG